AUUGAACGCUGGCGGCAGGCUUAACACAUGCAAGUCGAGCGAGUGGCGGACGGGUGAGUAAUGUCUGGGAAACUGCCUGAUGGAGGGGGAUCACUACUGGAAACGGUAGCUAAUACCGCCUACCAUCGGAUGUGCCCAGAUGGGAUUAGCUAGUAGGUGGGGUAAAGGCUCACCUAGGCGACGAUCCCUAGCUGGUCUGAGAGGAUGACCAGACACACGGGAACUGAGACACGGGCCAGACCCAUACGGGAGGGAGCAGGGGGGAAUAUUGCAAAAUGGGCGCAAGCCAGAGGCAGACGUGCCGCGUGUAUGAAGAAGGCCUUGGGGUUGUAAAGUACUUUCAGCGGGGAGGCGUUACCCGCUGAAGAAGCACCGGCUAACUCCGUGCCAGCAGCGGGGGUAAUC
rnacentral:rRNA from 1 species